rnacentral:snoRNA from 1 species
GGGAAAUGAGGAGUGGUACAGGCUCGCUAAAUUAUGCGAGAGGGGUGCCCGCCCCAAUAAGCCUGUUACGACACUGGGGCAUCCCCGUAACUUACCAUCUGAUCCU